UCUCAUAAUAAAUGUAUUAUACAAUAUUUUAAUUUUAUUUUAAUUUAUAUAAAUAAAAAAGUGCGUCAUUGUUACGUGUGAAUCUAUAUGUGUGAGAUUCUUUUGAAAUUACAAAAAUCAUAAAUUAAUGCAUCAUUUGUUCGAGUUAUGUGAAAUUGGAAGUUUGCAGCAUAUCUUGUUUGACAUGUUUCGAUUUGAUGUUCUUGCUAAUUUAUGAUUCGAUAAUCGAAUUGUGGCGCGAGAUGUCAUUGUAUCGAUAAUCAUAAGUUUAUGAUCACGACAGUUCAGAUGCGUCAUUUUUUCUUGAGAUUACUAAUUGAUUGUUGGAAUGAUGGAAAAGUGGGAAAGAUUUCAAUAUGAACGCCAUAACGAUAACUUCAAGAAAUGUUUUGUUACAGUUUCAUACUUGAUGAUUAUUUCGCAAUGAUAUCUCAUAGCAAUAUUGAUGACAGCAUUAACAUCGUAUUUAUUGGUA